rnacentral:rRNA from 1 species
GACGAACGCUGGCGGCGUGCUUAACACAUGCAAGUCGAGCGGUAAGGCCUUUCGGGGUACACGAGCGGCGAACGGGUGAGUAACACGUGGGUGAUCUGCCCUGCACUUCGGGAUAAGCCUGGGAAACUGGGUCUAAUACCGGAUAUGACCCCCUAUCGCAUGGUGGGUGGUGGAAAGAUUUAUCGGUGCAGGAUGGGCCCGCGGCCUAUCAGCUUGUUGGGGGGGUAAUGGCCUACCAAGGCGACGCCGGGUAGCCGACCUGAGAGGGUGACCGGCCACACUGGGAGUGAGACACGGCCCAGACUCCUACGGGAGGCAGCAGUGGGGAAUAUUGCACAAUGGGCGAAAGCCUGAUGCAGCGAGGCCGCGUGAGGGAUGACGGCCUUCGGGUUGUCAACCUCUUUCAGCGGGGACGAAGCGCAAGUGACGGUACCUGAAGAAGAAGCACCGGCUAACUACGUG